AUUGAGAGGACCUUUCCCUAGUACGAGAGGACCGGGAAGGACGCACCUCUGGUGUACCAGUUAUCGUGCCUACGGUAAACGCUGGGUAGCCAAGUGCGGAGAGGAUAACUGCUAAAAGCAUAUAAGUAGUAAGCCGUACAUAACUAUGAGU
rfam:Hordeum vulgare subsp. vulgare, WGS project CAJW01000000 data, contig: morex_contig_1981270